GACGAACGCUGGCGGCGUGCUUAACACAUGCAAGUCGAACGGUAAGGCUCCAGCUUGCUGGGGUACACGAUUGGCGAACGGGUGAGUAACACGUGGGUGACCUGCCCUGCACUUCGGGAUAAGCCUGGGAAACUGGGUCUAAUACCGGAUAGGAUCAUUUUGUGGAUACUGUGGUGGAAAGUUUUUUCGGUGUGGGAUGAGCUCUCGGACUAUCAGCUUGUAGGUGGGGUAAUGGCCUACCAAGGCGGAGACGGGUAGCCGGCCUGAGAGGGUGGACGGCCACAUCGGGACUGAGAUACGGCACAGACUCCUACGGGAGGCAGCAGUGGGGAAUAUUGCGCAAUAGGGCGAAGGCUGAUGCAGCGACGCCGCGUGGGGGAUGCCGGCCUUCGAGUUGUAAACUAAUUUCACCAUAGACGAAGGGUUUCUGACGGUAGAUGGUGAAGAAGCAACGGCUAACUACGUG
rnacentral:rRNA from 1 species